rnacentral:rRNA from 1 species
UACAGAGGUCUCAAGCGUUGUUCGGAUUCAUUGGGCGUAAAGGGUGCGUAGGUGGCGUGGUAAGUCGGGUGUGAAAUUUCGGAGCUUAACUCCGAAACUGCAUUCGAUACUGCCGUGCUUGAGGACUGGAGAGGAGACUGGAAUUUACGGUGUAGCAGUGAAAUGCGUAGAGAUCGUAAGGAAGACCAGUGGCGAAGGCGGGUCUCGUGGACAGUUCCUGACACUGAGGCAACGAAGGCCAGGGGAGCAAACGGG